UCUCCGAGCAGCUGCGACGGCGCGGGAGGGCCCCGGGCUCACCGACCGCCCAUUUCGCUGCCUGGAGAAGGGCCAAGCGCACGCCGCAGCCCCUCGCUGCCAUUCCAACGUGAGUGAAAGGCCCUUUAAUAAGACUGUAAAUAAAAGCCAGGCUGAGAAAUGAGUUUUCCAUCCCAGCAAUCACUGGGCUAACCUCGGCUGUAAAUGGUCGGUCCAGCAGCGCGGCUGGAGUCCCCGCACCUGGGGGACCAAGGCAAUCUCGGUGCUGCUCGGUGCUGCGCGGUGUUAACAGCUGGGUGCAGCCGACAAGCGAAUUCGCGGGGGAGGCGGGGCCGGUCCAGCUCGGGUAUUUGGUACGAACAACCCCCCUCGGGCCUGGCCUACUCGCCUUGCCCUCCCUCGCCCCAAGAAUUGCGUGGGGCCCCAGCGCGCCGGCCCUCUGGGGGAGGCGUGCGCCGGGCCACUGGAAUAAUCUUAGUCUGAGGUAAUGUCCUCGGGAGGGACCGGACCGCCAGGCCCUCUAAUUUAUGGUCAUUGGCAUAAUAGCUUUAACGUGAUUUAUCUGACUGCGCAGGAGAUGGCAAAAGCCUCCCGAAGAAUGAUUGGUUAUCCCAGGCUUUGUGCAUUUCUGAUUGGCCUUAUUAAUUUAGAGCGGAGCCGGGAGCAGCCUCUUGACCGAGACGGGGAAAUCAGCUUGACAACAGCCUCUGUGUAGAGUCGGUUUGGGGCUGCCAAAGGUUUAGCUUUUUGCAGAAACUGAAAGAAUAAUUUACUGCUUAAAAAAGUCGGGGAGUUUGACAGAAUGUGCUGGCAAAAAGCAAUUUUAGUUUGAAAGAGGGUGAAGAUCCCUUGGUUCCACUGAUUCCUAUUUUGUUUUCCUUCGUGUUUGUACAGACCAAAGACCUCAGUGCCUUGGAGGUGGGAAAGACAACAGGAAGGGUGUUUUCUUAUUUUUAUUUUUAAUGUUUGAGUUUUGGGGAAAAAUGCAACACUUAAGACUUUGAAGGAAAAGAAUUUGGGGGAACCAGGAGGCAAGUAAGUAUUAGAUCAUGCUUCUGAAAAUGUAUUUCACAGUCAUUUCUGUGGGGAAAAAUGUCUUACCUUUUGAGCUCUCUUCAGACAUCCUCAUUAGUAUUUAUGGAACACAUAAAUUAUUGGAUAAGCACACCAAUACACCACACUUCACAAGGUCAUUACUCUGUGUUACUGUAGUAACUGUCACUUAAAUGUCACCAUUGAAUGAUGCAACUUAGUCCCAUGAAUAAUAGAGACUAAAUAAGAAUAUUGGGGGCAUUAUAAUAUUUAGUGGCAAAUAUUUUCGUAUGAAAGAAUUAUAAAAUAGAGUAGAGGUGGGUACCUAAUUUAAAUGUACACCCAUUCAUUUACUAUAUUUGUGUGUGUGGAACUGAAAUGUCGACAUAUAGCACUAGGUAGCCUCCAAAUAUAAUCCUUAACACUGUUCCUCUGGGGGACCAGAACAAAGCCAGAGAGAGAGCAAGAGAACAUGAUUGCUUGGGGAAGGGGGCAGGUUGGUGUCACACGUGCAGUGGCACAAUCAUUUCUUUUAUUUAUAGCUCUAACCAGAAAAAUAGACUGGGAGCAGCUGAGUACCAAUUUAUUUUGCUGCCUGAACCGAUGAGUGGUUGCCUUAAAUGUCAUUGAGUCGGAAGGUUAUGCAUUUCAUUCACUGCCAGGUUACAGGAAGCUUUGAAGCAGGUCUAAAAGGCGAUCAGUAAUUGUCCUGCCACCUAUCAAGGUGGGCAAGUGCCAUCCUGCUGGGUGGAAUUGGCUCAGUAGGGGUUGAGGGCUGCCUGUCAUCGCUGACUAGUCUCAGCAAAUGCAGUUUGAGUAGAAACAAAGGUGGCCGGUUUAGUCCCGGUACAAAAGCAAAGUGAAGUGGAAUGUAGGGGAUACCUCCCAGAACAACCAAAAUGGAUUUGGAGGCCAGGAAUGGGGACUUGUUUGGGCCAGCCACAAGCCAGAGCAUGUGCACACACCACAGAGGUCCAGUGUUUAACUCCCUAAAUGUGACACUCACAGGAGAAAAGGACAAUACUAGAGGUAUGACUCGAGUGCUGUGGAAAUUCAGAGAGAGCAUUGAAGAGUCUGUAAGGGUCAGGGAGGAGUUUCUAUGUGGUGCAAAUGGUUAACGUCCUUGGCUGCUAACUGAAAAGAUGGAAGUUCAAGUCUACCCAGAGGUGCCUCGGAAAAAAAGGCCUGGCGAUCUACUUCCCCAAAAUCAGCCUUCAAAAACCUGUAGAGUGCAUUUCUACUCUGACACACAUGGAUCUCUGUCAUGGAUUGAAUUAUGUCCCCUAAAAAUGUGUGUAUCAACUCGGUUAGGUCCUGAUUCCCAGUAUUCUGUGGUUGUCCUCCAUUUUGUGAUUGUAAUUUUAUUUAUUUGUUAAAAGGAUUUGGGUGGGAUUGUAACCCCACCCUCACCCAGGUCAGACCCUUGAUCCAAGGUAAAGGGAGUUUCCCUGGGGUGUGGCCUGCACCACCUUUUAUCUCUCAAGAGAUAAAAAGGAAAAGGAAGCCAGCAGAGAGUUGGAGACCUCAUACCAUCAAGAAAGCAGCACCAGGAGCAGAGUGCAUCCUAUGGACACAGGGUCCCAGUGCCUGAGAAGCUUCGUGACCAGGGGAAGAUUGAGGAUAAGGACCUUCCUCCAGAGCCCACAGAGAGAGAAGGACUUUCCCUGGAGCCAAUGCCCUGAAUUUGGACUUGUAGCCUACUAGAUUGUGAGAAAAUCAAUUUCUCUUUGUUAAAGCCAUCCACUUGUGUUUCUGUUAUGGCAGCUUUAGAUGACUAAGACAGUCUCCAUGAGCUGGAAGCAGCUCAAGGGCAACUGGUUAAGGGUUAGGAAAGGUUUUCCACAUGUGUUGACCAGUGUCCUGGGACAUGAAGCAUGAAGAGGUUUUGGUCAAGGAGAGAGGGACAAAAAAUCAUGCUAGCCAUGGUUAGAACACAAAUCAUAAAGGAGAGGAGAAAAAAGGAGAUGAUCGGAGCUACCCAAUCCCCUGUAAUUAAUGGCUGAUGAGCAUACAGGUAUACGUUUAAGCUGCAUCUCACCUCUUGGCGAAACUUAAAUAUUUACAUGGUGCCAGAAAUCUCCCUCACAAAGAAACAUUAGUAGUCAGGUGUCUCCUCUAAUUUUCUUUUAAAGGAAAUAAUGGAAAAUAAUGUUUCCUUAAGCUCAUCUGAUUUUAGCCAUAAUGAUCGAAGGGCAAGCCAAAAACCAUAGAAGAGGACUAAACUCUGAAAUCCUAGUAUAAUUGUUUUUUAGCUUAAAAUAAUCCUACUCCACUAAUACGACAUGUGUCAUAUUAUGCUGAGCGCCAUCUCCCCGGCUCUCCAACAUGAGCAGUAGUGGUGUUUGUCUCUAAGGAUAGACAAGCUGGCAGCCAACCAGCAGCAUUCCCUGGAUCCAGCACAAUGGUACGGUUCUGCCCCUCUGUCUUUCCCCGCUGGGCUGCACUCGGCCCCAUAGGAAACUCAUCUGUCAUCACAACAAAAAUCAGCUCAGUUCCUUUGCAUUCAUUUGCCGACCAGGCGGCUCCCUUCCAGGCCACUCAACGUUGCUUCUCUUCCUCCCUUCUUUAGCCUCCAAAUCUCCUCCUCCUCCCUCUGAACAGCUCAUUGUUGAGUAUCAGGAUUAUGAUGGCAGAAUUCACUGCUGCCCUCAGUUAAAGAAAAGAAAAAAACACACACACUUCUUUUGUCUUACUUUAGUCAGCAGCAUAGGCCGUGUCUUUGUAGCAGCUCUAGUUCUCGCUAUAAAGAUAUAAUGGUGCUAAUCUUAACUAAAAAAAAAAAAUAUACAAAUUCCAUUAGGUAUGGAUUCUGUGCCACCAUGAAUAGUAUUUCCAAGACUGCUUUCCUCAUAUAUGGGCCCUGGUGGCGCAAUGGUUAAGCACUUGGCUGCUAACCAAAAGUUCGGCAGUUUGAACCCACCAGCCGCUCCGUGAAAGAACAAUGUGGCAGUCUGCUUCCAUAAAGAUCACAGCCUUGGAAACUGUAUGGGGCAGUCACUGUGAGUCAGAAUUGACUGAACAGCAAUGGGUAAUUCUCGUGUACUGGUCCAUUUCCUAUCUUACUAGGAGUACCUCCUUCCUUUUUUGGCUCUAUUAUUCAGUGCUUCUCUGCGUAAUUUGGAUUUUACCCUUUGGAGAUGCCUCCUUGAAGAAUCACAGUGCCUGUAUAUGAAGGUCAGAAGCCUAUCUAGCCCAGGGCCUUGCCAAUGGGUCAAAGCUGUGCCUGUGAUAGCAGUUCUGGGUGCCUCCUACCAGGGGUUGAAUUUUUAUUUAUUAAUUUUGCAGACUUUACUGAAACCCUCCCAUACAUCUUGGGGAGUGCGGAAUGAAUAAGAACCUUCUUGUCUGAUAAAGGAAGAGGCGAUGAACUAUGUGAUGCUCACGUGAGAUAGUACAAUAAUAAAGGUACGAAGGGAGUGCUGUGGAGAUUCAGGAGAGCACAUGCAAGAGUCUGAAAGGGUCAGGGAAGGUUAUACAUAUGUAUUGACCACUGUCCUGGGUCAUGAAGGAUGAAGGGGUGGAAGGCCACUGAAGACAAGGGUGAAAAACAGGCACAAAAGAGAGGAGGAAAAGAAAGACCGGCGGAGAAAAAGAGGGAGGAAGGAGCCUACUGGGUUGUUAGAGAGAAUGAAUGAAAUGGAAAGAUCAACGAGAGUUAAAGUUACAUUAGUAAUUGUUUCUACACCCAUCCUUGAUAACCAAGUUCACUCCCAGUGUAAAUACCAUUACGGUUUAUAUUAUAUUUAUCUCACCAAAAGAUGUGGAAGUUCCAGAAAAUGAGUGACUUAGCAUGUUCACAAUAUGCUACUGUGAUGGUUUAAGGUUGUGUGUCAACUUGACUGGGCCAUGAUUUACAGUGGUUUGGCAGUUAUAUAAUGAUGUAAUUUGGCAGUUAUGUAAUGAUGUGGUCAUCCUCCAUUUUGUGAUCUGAUGUAGUCAUCCCACAUUUUGUGACCUGAUGUGAGCACCCAAUCAGUUGAAAGGGAAGUUUCCUUGGGGGUGUGGCGUACAUCCAAUACAUAUGGCUGUUUUGGCAAAGGUUGAUUGCUCUGGAUCCUGCAUCCGAUUUUUUCAUCCUCUGACCUCCAGUUCUUGGGACAUGAGCCAACAGCCUGCGACCUAACCUGCAGAUCUUGGGAUUCACCAGUACCUGCAACCCUGUGAGCCAGCAGCCUUCUGCCUGACCUGCCAGUUUUCGGUUCAUCAGCCCCUACAACCACGUGAAUCAGGAGAAGCCUCCAGCCUGAUACCUGACCCAUGGAUCUGAGACUGGAGCAUGAGCCAUUUCCUUGAGAUAAAGCAUGUAUACAUGCUUCACUGGUUUUGCUCUUCUAGUGUACCCAGCCUAAGACAGCUACGAAGAACAUAAAGCAGUUAUAAAAGAAGAAAAAUAAAAAAUCCAAGGCAUUGAAAAAACAGGGAAGAAAAUACAUCAAAAUGAUGAUAGCUGUUAUCUAUUAUUAUCUCUGGAGGCUAAAAGCUUGGCUGCUAAUCAAAAAAUUCAGCAGUUCGAAUCCAUCAGCUGCUCCUUGGAAACCCUAUGGGGCAGUUCUGCUCUGUCCUAUAGGGUCACUAUGAGUCAGAAUCAACUUGAUGGCAACAGUGACCCUCUACUUUACCAAGCAUGAUGACCUUCUCCAGGGACUGAUCUCUUCUGAUAACAUGUCCAAGGUAUGUGAGACAUAGUCCUGCCAUCCUUGCUUCUAAGGAGUAUUCUGGUUGUACAUCUUCCAUGACAGAUUUGUUCCUUCUUUUGAUAGUCCAUGGUAUAUUCAAUAUUCUUCUCCAAAACCACGAUUCAAAGGUGUCAAUUCUUCUUCAGUCUUCCUUAUUCAUUGUCCAGCUUUCGCAUGCAUAUGAGGCGCUUGAAAACACCAUGGCUUGGGUCAGGCACACCUUAGUCCUUAAGGUGACAUCUUGCUUUUUAAAGAGGUCUUUUGCAGCCAAUUUCCCCUAUGCAAUGUGUCUUUUGAUUUCUUGAGUGCUGCUUCAAUGGGCGUUGAUUGUGGAUUGAAAUCCUUGACAACUUCAAUCUUUUCUCCCUUUAUCAUAAUAUUGCUUAUUGGUCCAGCUGUGAGAACUUUUGUUUUCUUCAUAUUGAGGUGUAAUCCAUAUUGAAGGCUGUGGUCUUUGAUCUUCAGUAAGUGCUUCAAGUCCUCUUCACUUUCAGGAAGCAAGUUUGUGUCAUCUGCAUAACACAGAUUGUUAAUGAGUCUUCCUCCAAUCUUGAUGCCUCAUUCUUCUUCAUAUAGUCCAGCUUCUCGGAUUAUUUGCUCAGCAUACAGAUUGAAUAGGUAUGGUGAAAGGAUACAACCCAGACGCACACCUUUCCAGAUUUUAAACCAUGCACUAUGCCCUUGUUCUGUUCGAACGACUGCCUCUUGGUCCAUGUACAGAUUCCUCAUGAACACAAUUAAGUGUUCUGGAAUUCCCAUUCUUUGCAAUGUUAUCCAUAAUUUGUUAUGAUCUACACAGUCAAAUGCCUUAGCAUAGUCAGUUAAACACAGGUAAACAUCUUUCUGGUAUUCUCUGCUUUCAGCCAGGAUCCAUCUGACAUCAGCAAUGAUAUCCCUGGUUCCAUGUCCUCUUCUGAAACUGGCCUGAAUUCCUGGCAGGUCCCUGUUGAUAUACUGUUGCAGCGCUUUUGAAUGAUCUUCAGUAAAAUUUUGCUUGCAUGUAGUAUUAACGAUAUUGUUCCAUAAUUUCCCUUUCCCCCAUGGGAGGCAAGAAUUAUACCACUGAACCACCAAUGCUUCAAAAAUUCAUUGAAGUUCAUGAUAAUGGCAUCUGACCCACGUGUGGAAUGAUGAGACUGAAAAACUAGGACUGUCUCAUUCAGGAGGCAGGUUUUGUAAAGAUAAUUUGGGGUGUGUCUUAUUUACAUGUGUGUCAACUUUGGCACCACCACCACCCUCCCCCAGCCCAUAAUGACAGACAAACCUAUAGUCCUCUUAGUAUCCCCAGCCCCUAGCACACCUGGCACAGUAGAUGCUUGUUUAAUAAAUGCUAUUUAAUGAAAGAAUAAAUAAAUGAUUUGAGAAGAUAGAUCCCUCAGGCAUAGCCCACACAUAAGGGAGGAGAUUCAGCAUCUCCUUGCCAUGCAACUUUUUUCCCUUGUGACCUCAAGUGCAUGAGGGAUCCUCCAGAUGAAAAUGAGUCCCAGGGACUAAAAGCCUCUUCUGGCUGGCAGCUUCUGACCUGUUUCCUAAUGAUCGGGCCCCCUGGUAUUCAUUCCCUCGUGUAAAUUCCUCUCCCUGAAGUGUGGGCUGGACCUUCUAAGGAAUAGAACACAGCAAAAGUGAUAGGAUGCCACUUUAGUGAUUAGGUUACAAAAGACUUUGGCUUCCGUCUUGCUGCCACUCUCUUUUGCCCUCCUGCUUCCUUGCUCUGAGAAAACAAGCUGCCGUGUUGUGAGAUGCUCUAUGGACAGGCCCACGUGACAAGGAACCGAGGGAGGCCUAGAGCUAACAGCCGAGGAGGAGCCGAAGCCUCAGUCCAAUAGUCCACGAGAAGCUGAAUCCUGCAGACAACAAUGUGAAUGAGAUGACUGCAGCACUGUGAGAGACCCUGGGCCAGACACGCCAGGAUUCUGGUCCCUCAGAAACUUCAAGAUAAUAAAUAUUUUAAGUCAGUAAGUUCGGGGGUAAUUUGUUGUACAGCAGUAGAUAACUAAUACACCUUUUGUGUUAGUUUUUCUUGCGCUAUAGUCCUUACUUCUCUAGUAUUCACUGUGCUGUUACUUAUCAAUUUACUGUGAUGUGAGGGAAUCAUUGACUUGCAAACUACUCACAGUAUACACACAGAGUACAUACAGUGUACAUACAACUACAUAUUGAAUAUAUACAUUGAAAACACACCUACAUAAGAGCAUAUAUGGUGUGCACACUACAUGCUAAGUACCUACAGUGUACAUGCAGCUACACGCAGAGUACAUACAGUGUACACACUACGUAAGAGCAUAUAUAGUGUGCACACAACUACUUGCUAAUAUAGUGUACAUGCAACUAGACGCAGAGUACAUAUAGUGUACACACAAGUAUAUACCAAGUGCAUACCAUGUGCAUACAACUACACAGAGUAUUAUAGCGUACAUACAGCUACAUACCAAGUACAUACUAUUUACAUACAACCACAUACGGAGUACAUACAGUGUACACAUAGAGUACAUAUCGUGUAUACACAACUGCACACAGAGUGCAUUCCGUGUACACAUAACUACAUAAAGAGCACACCACGUUAGACGUGCUGGACAUCAGUGGCCACUCAGCUGCACACUUCAUAUAAAGCACAGGCCCUACUGCCUCCACUGUUAAAGGAAGCAUCCUCCUUCCUUCAAUCGUAACCCUUUUUUUCCACCUCCAGACUCAUCCUCUUUAUCUUAGAAGUGGAAAAGCCUGACAGUUCAGCCCUCUCCAUUUACAAAAUGAGAAAACUGAGACCCACAAAGAGACAAUGACCUGUCCCACCUCACACCACUAAUCCAAGUCAAGAGUUAGGAGAUGAAGUACUAAGAAAGCCUGGGUCUUCCUGCCCCUGGUCCAGGGGUGGGGUCUGUUCUAAAUCACAUGCUCAUGUUCUAGGAAGUGAACAGGUAUCAGCAAGUGGGAAAGCAGUCUCAUAUAUCAGAGCUCACCCUCGACAUCAGGGCUCGUUUCUAUUUGGGUCCCAGGCUCAUUCUUUCCCUUCAGGUGGGACUUACUAUCCUGAGGCUUGGUAAACUACAACUCAGCAACAUUAACCUGAAUUCUCCAAAGGAGACUUUUCUCUCUUCCACAUAGGCAUCCUCUACUCAGCCAUGCAAAACUGCCUGCGAUUCCAUAACACCUUCAUUGCUCUAUCCAGCUUAACACAUAUACAGUCUGGUUCCUCUUUAAUUCCCCUUUAUUCUGCCAGAUUUAUAAUUAGGGGGGACACUACCCCCAUAAAGUGAAUUGAUCUGCACUAGUUGAUAUCUCAAAUGAUGUCAUGGAUUGAAUUGCAUCCCCUUCCCCCCAAAUAUCUGUCAAUUUGGCUAGAUCGUGAUUCCCUUGUAUGAUUGUAUGAUUGCCUACCAUUUUAUCUACAGAUAUGAUUUCCCUAUGUGUUGUAAAUCCUAACACUAUGAUGUAAUAAGAUGGAUUAGUGGCAGUUAUGUUGUUGAGGCCUAUAAGAUUAAAUAGUGUCUUAAGCCAAUCUCUUUUGAGAUAUAAAAGAGGGAAGCCAGCUGAGAGACAUGGGGACCUCAUACCACCAAGAAAGCAGUGAUGGGAGCACAGCACGUCCUCUGGACCUGAGGUUCCUGUGCUGAGAUGCUCCCAGACCAAGGAAAGACUAAUGACAAGGACCUUCCUCCAGAGACGACAGAGAGAGAAAGCCUUCCCCUGGAGCCCACGACCUGUAUUUGGAUUUCUAACCUACUGGGCUGUGAGAGAAUAAACUCUUUGUUAAAACCAUCCACUUCUUGUAUUUCUGUCACAGCAGCACUAGAUGGCUAACACAAAUGAGCAUAAUUUGAUUUUAAACAAAUGCUUUUUAGAUUAAAUUAAAACUUGGUUUGCCUGCUUAUAAUCUCCUGCUUCACUUUUCGCCUUUAUUAUGAGGCCAUUGAACGUAUUAAUUUUAAUAGUGGAUGGGGGUGGAAGGGUUUGCAGCUGUGUCACUGUGAAAUUACUCAGGUUUUAAAUAUGACUCUGAAGCCAGCCAUUGCUGGGGAAGAGAAAUCUACACAGAUAAUCUGGCCUUUGACUUGUGACUAUUACAGAAGCCACUGCUCACGAACCCGUGAAAUCAAAGGCCUGCAAAUCAGAGUUAUACUGAGGCUAGGGUAAGAAGGAAUUUAAAAUGAAAGCAUCCUACUUUGUGUUCAACCCCAUUCUAUCAUGUGAGUGAAGAGUCACCCAGGCACUAAUUGUGACUUUCAUCACUAUACUUGUGCAAUUUUUAAGAAUGAGAUCAUAAGCAUUAUCUCACAUGACUCUCCCAUGCCUGGGAGGUGGGCAGAGCUGGAAUUUUCAUACUACAGAAGAAAGAGAGGCUCAGUACGCUAAGUAACUUUCUCAGGGACAUGUAACUAGUGAAGAGUCAGGACUAAAAAAACCUAGAUUUCUUGAUAGUUAAACCAGGACUCUUUUCAUUACAAGAAUGGCUCUCAUAUAGCGUCCCAGGUGAUGCUGAUGUUGACGACCUGGGACUACACUUGGAGAACCACAGCACUAUAACAUAUUGUCUUCAGGAGGAAGGCUCCUAAGGGCUAUCUGCUGCCACACAUGCUUUUUAUAUCCAUGAGUUCAAAGUGUGUUCUAAAAGAUGCUGUGAAGAAGAAUCAAAGCUAAAAUAGCUGGCAGAGAAGUAAAAUGACAAAACAUGCUUUUAAUUCAACAGUUCAUUUAUUGUUUGUUCAGUAGUAGGUCUUGUUGAAGAGAUUGGAAAACGUGUAUUUCCACUGCUUAGUACCUUCAAAGAUCAUUAGUUCAUUCAUGGAGUUGAGAUUAGCAUACAGGAAAAGCAUAAUAUGUAUAGUUGGAUAACAAAAUAUGUAUCAAUAAGUUUUAUGGGAGUUAAAGGGAUCAACAUUAAUUAGACUAGCAAGGCAAGGCUUUACAGAAAAGCUAGGUUUGGAACUUUGAAGGAUGGUAGUCAGGAUAUCUAGUGCUGUAUAAAAUGAGCACUGGUGGUACAAUGGUUAAGAGCUCAGUUGCUAAUCAGAAGGUUGGGGAUUCCAAUGCACCAGCCACUCCGUGGGAGAAGAGACUGGCAAUCUGCUCCUGUAAAGACAUCGAGUCCAUUCUGACUCAUAAUGACCCUAACGGACAGAGUAGAACUGUCCCAUAAGGUUUCCAAGGCUGCGAUUCUUUAUGGCAGGAGACUGCCACAUCUUUCUACUGCAGACUGACUGAUGGGUUAGAACCACCAACCUUCCCAUCAGCAGCUGAGCACUUAACCACUUGCACUACCAAGGCUCCUGUCCCGUAGAGAUUUCAGCCUAGGAAACCCUAUCCAGCAGUUCUACUCUGUCCAGUAGGGUCGCUAUGAGUUGGAAUUGACUCAACAGAACACAACAAAGUGUGUAUAAGGAAUCACCCCAAAACUUACUGGUUUAAAAUAGAUAUUGUUAUCUCUCGUGGUUCUGUGGGUUGAUUGGGCUCAGGUGAGUGAUCCUGCUUGGGGUCUUUCAUGUAGUCUCAGUGAGAUACCAGCAGGGAGUAUAAUAAUCUCAAGGCUCACCUCGGCUGGGUGCCCAAGAUAGUUUCUUCACUCACAUUAUCUGGUGUCUUAGCCUCCUACACAGGCCUUCUCUCUCCAAAAGAGUUGCCUGGACUUGUUCAAUGACAGCUCAGCGCUCCAAGAGAUAGGAAAUGGAAACUUCCAGUCCUCUUAAAGUUUAGACCCAGAAUUAGCACAUCUGCCGUAUUCUAUUGAAGAUAGUCAGAUGCAAGCCCAGAUUGAAGGGAACAGAGGAAUAGACUCCAUCUCUCAAUGAGAGAGUGUCAUGUGUAUACGAUAAAAAAAAAAGUUCCCGUUGAGUUGAUUGCAACUCAUAGCAAUCCUAUAGGACAGAGUAGAACUGCUCCAUAGGGUUUCCAAAGAGUGGCUGGUAGAUUCAAACUGCUGACAUUAUAGUUAGCAAAGUAGUUCGCUGUACCUCUUAACCACUGCAGGAAGAAACUGAUGAGAGCUAUCUUUGGAGAAAAGUUAGCACAGAUGGGCAGGUAGAGGAAACACCCACAGCAGAAGAUGUAAGAACCAGGAAGAGAGCUAAGAGGAGAUCUGAAAUCCUAUCUAUAAGAAAAAUCAAAGGAGUUGAAAGCAGAAAUGAAGAGUCUGGGUCUGAUCUGAUAAACAAUGGAAAUCAUUGUAAGUUCUUAGGUAGCAAAGUGGCUUUUAUUCACUCAACACUCCCACUUAAGCACUGGGCUGGCUGUGUUAUAAAUACAAACGUACACAAGACAGUUUUAGUCAAUUUUUGCAACCAUUGUGUAUUUUGAAUACCUUCCAACCUAGGGGGCUCAUUUUCUAGCCCUGAUAGCACACUAGCUAAGCUCUUGGCAGCUAACCGAAAGAUCAGCAGUUCAAAUCCACUAACGGCUCCAUGAGAGAAAAGACCUGCGAUCUGCUCCUGUAAAGAUAACAGCCUAGGAAACUCUGAGUGAGCCAUCAUGGGGCUCAGAGUUCAGUGGGAGGUGCGGAUGCUGGGCAACGGCAGUCUCGUGUGAUGACUGCUGACAAAGUGAAAAGUGUAGGGUGCCAGAAAAGGAGUGGGAGGGGAAGGGGUAGCGGUCAGUGCUGUUUUAGAAAUAUUCCUCUAACAAAAGUUCUUGGGCAACAUUGGAGAAGAGAAAGACAAAAGAAGACAAGGAGGCAGUUAGAAGGCUGUAAUAAUCUUUUGUUGUUGUUGUUAGGUGUCGUGGAGUUUGUUCCAACUUGUAGAGACCCUAUGUACCACAGAACAAAACACUGCCUGAUCCUGCCCCAUCCUCAUAAUAGUUGUUAUGCUUGAGCCCAUUGUUGCAGCCACUGUGUCAAUGCAUCCCACUGACAUUGAGGGUCUUCCUCUUUUUCACUGGCCCUCUACUUUACCAAGCAUGAUGGCCUUCUCCAGGGACUGUGAGAGUAGUCUCAUCAUCCUUGCUUCUAAGGAGCAUUCUGGCUGUACUUCUUCCAAGACAGAUUUGUUCAGUCUAGAUGAUUAGAAUUAGACAUUUUAAACCGCCUCCUCUAUCCCUAAUGAAUGGAGAUGUAGCCCUGACAGGGAGUAUGCCUAGGGCAACAUAGGCUGUUAAAGUAGUCGUACCUUCCUCAUAAAAGAUUUGGUUAUGCCCAAUGUAAAGUUAUCUGAUAAAACUUGUAAAAUGACAAUACAGGUUGAAGUGAUAUCAAGGCAUUUUGGUGUUGUUAGCGGCCAUUGAGUUGGCUCAGACUUAUGGUAAUCUCAUGUACAACAGAAUGAAACAUUGCCCAAUCCUGUGCCAUCUUCCUGAUCUUUGGUAUGUUUGAGUCAGUUGUUGCAACCAUUGUGUAUUUUGAAUGCCUUCCAACCUAGGAGGCUCAUUUUCCAACACUGAUGGCACCAUGGUUAAGUGCUUGGCUGAUAACCAAAAGGUCUGCAGUUCGAAGCCACCAGCAGCUCCAUGGGAAAUAAGACCUGGCUAUCUGCUCCUGUAAAGAUUACAGCCUAGGAAACCCUAUGGGGCAGUUCUACUGUGUCCUAUAGGAUCGCUAUAAGUAGAAAUUGACUCAACAGCACACAACAACAACAGAAUUGGACAAUAUUCUUUUGUAAUCUAUAGGGUUUUCAUUGGCUAAUUUUUGGAAGUAAAUUGCCAGACCUUUCUUCCUAAUCUGACUUUGUCUGGAAGCUCUGCUGAAACCUGUCCACCAUCGGUGACUCUGCUGAAAUGUGAAAUACUGGCAGCAUAGCUUCCAGCCUCAGAGCAACACACAAGCCACCACAGUAUGACAGACUUGGGAGAUCACAUCAAAAGCAAGGGAGAAAACUGAACUGAGGUGGAGCGUUCUUUCCUCACAUCCAGAAAACAUCUACCUGACUCCAGAGAGAGAAGCUAUUUCACCCUUUAAAGGCACACCAAGUCACUGGCUAACCUUCAGGGGGAAAAAUUUUGAUUUUGUUUUUCUUCUCUAAAUUAGAUGAACUCAUGUCUGUAAGACAAUACCUCCAGUAAAUAAAUUAUAUGUGGUUGCCAAGGAAAUGCCAACUGCUUAUAAUGAGACCAGGAAGCUCAUUCUCCACCAGAAAGCAGGCUCCACUGGCCCCUGCUGCUCGCUGCCCAGGUUGUUACCUACAGCUGGUGCACUGCCAGAAACACUGUGGAGGCUCAAUAAAUGUUUGAUUGUCUUAAAGAGUAUACUCAAUUGUGUACAGAUCACAGAUGGUGAUGGGGCUAGGUACACUUGGGGUACUUUGUGUUCUAGACUCUGCCAAGAGCUCUAAGAAUGCAGUUAACUAUUUAGAGGAAGGAAAUGCUUAAGCUGUCCUACCGAGAACAUAGGAAUAACAUUUAAACUCAGUUCUAGUGUAGGCACUGGAAUAACUUCUCCAAGGAAAGCAGUGACAAGCGGGGGAGGCAUCUAGUGUCUGUCACCCUCUUCACAACUGUCUCUAUACUUAACUGUUUUCCUGGCGCCUCUUUUCUAAUCCACUCCUUUUGUUCUUCAUUAGCUUUCAUUCAAAAGUCUUCCCCAGGGACCCUGUAAGGGUAAUGUACAAGGCAGGGAGUUGGUAGGAAUGCUUAUUAUCUUCUUGCUAGCUUGGACCACUGCUACUUUCUAUCAGAGUGGAGGAGCAAGAGCUGGGGAAAAGACAACUAGAGAAAUGGAAGGAGAGAAAAAUGAGGAAGAAGGGCAUUGCAACACACAAAAAGGAAAUAAAAAGAAAAGUUGAGUCAACAUGAAGACCUAGUUAAUGGGAGAAAGAACUUUCCAGAUCUAAGGCAGUGGUUAAAAAAAAAAAAAAAGGCAGGGA